AAACCAUGGAAAAUGCACGGUAAUUCCACUAAAAAUACACUGUAAUUCCACUUGCAAAAUACAGAGCAAAAAUCCCUAAAAGUACACUAUAAAUCCACUAAGACUUACAAUGUAAAUUCCACUAAUAAUUACAGUGUAAAUACCAUGGAAAAUGCACAGUAAUUCCACUAAAAAUAGACUGUAAUUCCACUUGCAAAAUACAGAGCAAAAAUCCACUAAAAGUACACUGUAAAUCCACUAAGACUUACAAUGUAAAUUCCACUAAUAAUUACAAUGUAAAUACCAUGGAAAAUGCACAGUAAUUCCACUAAAAAUACACUGUAAUUCCACUUGCAAAAUACAGAGCAAAAAUCCACUAAAAGUACACUGUAAAUCCACUAAGACUUACAGUGUAGAUUCCACUAAUAAUUACAGUGUAAAUACCAUGGAAAAUGCACAGUAAUUUCACUAAAAAUACACUAUAAUUCCACUAAAAAUGCCACUUGCAAAUACAGGGCAAAAAUCCACUAAAAGUACACUGUAAACCCACAGAUUUACAGUGUAAAUUCCACUGUAAUUCCACUAAUAAUUACAGUGUAAACCCACUGAAAAUGCACUCUAAUUCCACUAAAAGUACACUGUAAAUUCCACUUAAAACACACAGAAGAAUUACACUGUAAUACCACUGAGAAAGUACUAAAUUUAACCCCAGAGAAGCACCACCAGAGAGGGCGAUUCCUCCAUGAUCAAGGACACGAACAUGGUUGGAGAAGCAAAAAAAUCACAGGUAAACACCCCCUCCUAUGCAUUCAUCAGCUCCUGUCGUCUCUCGUCUCUCUCCUGCCUGAACAGAUCUGGAAGAAAGAAC
rnacentral:lncRNA from 1 species